rnacentral:lncRNA from 1 species
CGCGUUUUGAGCCGAUCGUGCCACCAUAGCUCCUGCUGCUGCCUCUGCCGCUGCGGCUACCGCGGCGGAGCAGAAAUUGCCGAACGCGAUGCCCGAGGGCGCUGUGAGCAGGGUGGCCUUAGCUCACCGAGGCUGGUCAGUGAGAGGGCAUACUGGGAAGCCCUGUGGAGUGGGAAGACAGUGCCGCUGUUGAGACAAGACCCAGGACUGGGCCGGGGACUGUCCCAAAGGGUUUCUCGUCAUAAUGGCUGUGGAAGGGUCAACCAUUACCAGCCGGAUCAAGAAUCUGUUGAGAUCUCCAUCCAUCAAACUGCGCAGGAGUAAGGCAGGAAACCGACGAGAGGACCUCAGCUCCAAGGUGACCUUGGAGAAGGUGCUGGGAAUUACAGUGUCUGGAGGCAGAGGACUUGCCUGUGACCCCCGAUCAGGUUUAGUUGCUUACCCAGCAGGGUAAGUAAGCACCUUGGAAGAGAUCUUGAUGCAUGGGAAUUUAUAGCCACGCUAGAGCAGUUGGGAUGGGCAGGGAUUUUCUGGUAUCUUCUGGAAGAUAGAUACAGGUUAAUGUUUUGUUGUCAUUUUUGUAAAGAGACGCAGGACCAGGUAAAGGUUCUUUGUCGGGUGCUGUCAUUGUUGCCAUCCUGUCCUGCUUUUCAGUUAUCUACCCC